UNUGACUUGAGUGCAGAAGGGGAGAGUGGAAUUCCAUGUGUAGCGGUGAAAUGCGUAGAUAUAUGGAGGAACACCAGUGGCGAAAGCGGCUCUCUGGUCUGUCACUGACGCUGAGGCUCGAAAGCGUGGGUAGCGAACAGGAUUAGAUACCCUGGUAGUNCACGCCGUAAACGAUGAGUGCUAGGUGUUAGGCCCUUUCCGGGGCUUAGUGCCGGAGCUAACGCAAUAAGCACUCCGCCUGGGGAGUACGACCGCAAGGUUGAAACUCAAAGGAAUUGACGGGGGCCCGCACAAGCGGUGGAGCAUGUGGUUUAAUUCGAAGCAACGCGAAGAACCUUACCAGGUCUUGACAUCCCGAUGCUAUUCUUAGAGAUAGGAAGUUACUUCGGUACAUCGGAGACAGGUGGUGCAUGGUUGUCGUCAGCUCGUGUCGUGAGAUGUUGGGUUAAGUCCCGCAACGAGCGCAACCCUUAUUGUUAGUUGCCAUCAUUAAGUUGGGCACUCUAGCGAGACUGCCGGUAAUAAACCGGAGGAAGGUGGGGAUGACGUCAAAUCAUCAUGCCCCUUAUGACCUGGGCUACACACGUGCUACAAUGGUCGGUACAACGAGUUGCGAGCCGGUGACGGCAAGCUAAUCUCUGAAAGCCGAUCUCAGUUCGGAUUGGAGGCUGCAACUCGCCUCCAUGAAGUCGGAAUCGCUAGUAAUCGCGGAUCAGCACGCCGCGGUGAAUACGUUCCCGGGCCUUGUACAC
rnacentral:rRNA from 1 species